UUCAUCUGAUCACUAGAGGGAGUGAAGAAUCGCUUCAGUUCAUUCAAACUGUGCUGUGAAACAAACCAUGAUCUCUUCAUCUUUAGUGCUGCUUCUGGCAGUGAUAUCCUGUAUUGAUUCAUAUGAACUCACUCAGCCUGAGUCUCUGACUGUCCGUCCUGAUGCCACUCUCACUAUCAACUGUAAAGUCUCCUAUUCAGUUACAAGUGAGCAUACAGGCUGGAUUCGUCAGCCUGCAGGAAAAGCUCUGGAGUGGAUUGGAUUGAUCUCGAGUGGUGGAAGCUUAUACUACAAGGACUCGCUGAAAAGCAAGUUCAGUAUCACCAGAGACACUUCCAGUAACACAAUAACACUGCAAGGAAAGAAUAUGCAAGCUGAAGACACAGCUGUGUAUUAUUGUGCCAGAGAUACACAGUGACAGACGCCAACAGCCUCCCUGUAC